UACGGGGGGGGGCAAGCGUUUGUUCGGAAUUACUGGGCGUAAAGGGCUCGUAGGUGGCCAACUAAGUCAGACGUGAAAUCCCCAGGCUCAACUUGGGAACUGCGUCUGAUACUGGAUGGCUUGAAUUCGGGAGAGGGAUGCAGAAUUCCAGGUGUAGCGGUGAAAUGCGUAGAUAUCUGGAGGAAUACCGGUGGCGAAGGCGGCAUCCUGGACCGACACUGACACUGAGGAGCGAAAGCCAGGGGAGCAAACGGG
rnacentral:rRNA from 1 species